ensembl:misc_RNA Y_RNA Y RNA
GGCUGGUCCGAUGGCAGUGCGUUAUCAGAACUUACUAACAUUAGUGUCACUAAAGUUGGUAUAACACCCCCCGCCACUGCUAAAUUUGACUGACUUUAA